rnacentral:misc_RNA from 1 species
ACGCCAUCCAAAAAGACAAUG